rnacentral:rRNA from 1 species
CCUACGGGUGACAGCAGUGGGGAAUAUUGCACAAUGGGGGAAACCCUGAUGCAGCGACGCCGCGUGAGUGAGGAAGUAUUUCGGUAUGUAAAGCUCUAUCAGCAGGGAAGAAAAUGACGGUACCUGACUAAGAAUCCGCGGCUAACUACGUGCCAGCAGCCGCCGUAAUACGUAGGGGGCAACCGUUAUCCGGAUUUACUGGGUGUAAAGGGAGAGUAGACGGUUAAUCAAGUCAGAAGUGAAAACCCAGGGCUCAACCUUGGGUCUGCUUUUGAAACUGAGUAUCUAGAGGUCAGGAGAGGUAAGCGGAAUGCCUAGUGUAGCGGUGAAAUGCGUAGAUAUUAGGAGGAACACCAGUGGCGAAGGCGGCUUACUGGACUGUAACUGACGUUGAGGCUCGAAAGCGUGGGGAGCAAACAGGAUUAGAUACCCCGGUAGUC